ensembl:misc_RNA 7SK 7SK RNA
GGAUGUGAGGGCAGUUUGGCUGCAACAUCUGUCAGCCUAUUGUUUGCUAGGGUUGAUUUGGCACAUCUGGCUGGCUAGGCGGGUGUCCACUUCCUCCUUCACCAGUCCAUGUGCGUCCCUGCCGAAGCUAUGUGCUCAGUCAAAGAGCAUGACCAUUCCUGAUAGAGGAGGGUCAGUCUUUGGUCAAGAGUAUACAAAUAGCUGCAUUCCCCUGCAGCUACUCCAAACAAGCUCUGGUUAGUUGUAUGCCUUGAAUAUUAAUAAGAUCCGGAGGUCAGGUACAACUUUGUCUUCUG